GGAAACCGACGCAGGUAUCCUAAAGGAAAUAAUUUAACGUUUAUUUUAAUAUCAAAUGCACGCUUACAACUUUUACAUAUUUAUGAUAAACAAUGCACCUACAGCAACUUUAUUACUGUUGUUUUAAAGGAUGUCAUUAAAAAGCUCACCUCAUCACCAAUGACAGAUAUUAAUUUUCCUUUAAUAGCCGAGUGCAAAGCCAUUUUAUUUCUUUAAGUUAAAUUUUACUGAAACAGCCUAUAAUUUUUUUUACUUAAAUAAAAUGUCAGCUGACGGGAGUCACGAGACGAUAACAUAAAUACACUAAAAUUACCAUAUGAAA